GAGGAGGUCUGUUUGUUGAAGCACCUUCACCAAUAGUUUGAAAAUAGGAAGCCAUCCCCAGGUUUAUAGUCGAAUCAAAGAAAAACAGAGUCGACUAGAUUUUCAAAUAUCUUAUGAAAACCAACUCUGGUGCCAAUUUUUGGAAAACAGGUAGGCUUCUUUCUACACCAAGAGGGGAGUGAAUUGGUGGUUUAUCAAAAACAAAGUCUUUUCGUAAUCUUGAAAUCAAAGUAUGAAACUUUUCAAACUUUUUUUGAAAUGCAAGUAAUGAAAAUUAGUAUGCAGCGGAAAAACGUAGAUGAUUCUGUUAAAUGUAAAGUCGACUAUAAAGUAAAAGUGUGGGGAUAGAGAAAAGCAAACAAUGGUUUUUAUACUGGUUCGGCCAACAAUGUCUACAUCUAGUGUCCUUCCAACCCAGGAAGCAAAUGCACUAUAAUGGUUGCGGUUUUUACAACAAGGAAUUUAUAGAAGACUUCCACAUCAAAAAUAUAAAUCUCCUCUCUAACCCUUAACCACAGCAAUAACAAUAGUAAGAAAUGCAGCAAGAUAUCCCCUCUUCUACAAUCUGCCAACCACUCUAAACAAUCCUCAAAGUGAACUAUCCCCUGUAAUCACAACAAGUCUAAAACCAGCAAACUUCACGGAUGCCAAGCCAAAAUCAAAGCAGCAGUCUUCAAGGAUGUCCAGCCUCAAUGUGAUUAAAAC
rnacentral:lncRNA from 1 species